UACGUAGGGUGCAAGCGUUAAUCGGAAUUACUGGGCGUAAAGCGUGCGCAGGCGGUUGUGCAAGACAGAUGUGAAAUCCCCCGGGCUUAACCUGGGAAUUGCAUUUGUGACUGUACGGCUAGAGUGUGUCAGAGGGGGGUAGAAUUCCACGUGUAGCAGUGAAAUGCGUAGAGAUGUGGAGGAAUACCGAUGGCGAAGGCAGCCCCCUGGGAUAACACUGACGCUCAUGCACGAAAGCGUGGGGAGCAAACAGG
rnacentral:rRNA from 1 species